AUGAGUUAUUAUGGGAGUGGGACUGGUGGCUUUAUAAGAAGAGAAAGAGAGACCUGAGAUAGCACACUCAGCCUCCUCACCAUGUGAUACCUUGCACCACCUUGGAACUGCAGAGUCUCCACCAUCAAGAAGGCCCUACAAGAAGUGACCUCUCAACCUUUGACUUCUCAGCCUCCAUAACUCUCAACAAUUUCCUUUAUGUAAUUAAAGAAAAUCUUUUAGUCUGAAAGAAAGUGGCACCAGAGAGUAACCACCAGAGAAAUCCACCAGGGAAAUGAGAAGUGAAUGUUGAUUUCUCAAUAACCUAUAACUAGAGAUUGCAUUUUGAUGAGGACCUGGAUGAUGGCUGUAUAAAUCCAUAUUCAUGCUGCUAUAAAGAACUACCUGAGACUGGAUAAUUUAUGA
rnacentral:lncRNA from 1 species